CGUGUAGGCGGUGUGGUAAGUCGGAUGUGAAAUCUCUAGGCUCAACCUGGAAACUGCACUCGAAACUGCCAUGCUUGAGUACCGGAGAGGGAAACGGAAUUCCUGGUGUAGGGGUGAAAUCUGUAGAUAUCAGGAAGAACACCGGUGGCGAAGGCGGUUUCCUGGCCGGAUACUGACGCUGAGGCGCGAAAGCUAGGGGAGCAAACG
rnacentral:rRNA from 1 species